UCGGAUGUGGUGCAUGGUGCACAUCGGCUUAAUAUAUCCGGAGUAUUUGAUAUGUUAAGAGCCGAAGGCCGGGGUUCGACUCCCCGCAUCCGAA